rnacentral:rRNA from 1 species
UACGGAGGGUGCAAGCGUUGUUCGGAAUUACUGGGCGUAAAGCGUGCGUAGACGGUUAUUUAAGUCAGGUGUGAAAGCCCCGGGCUCAACCUGGGAAUUGCAUUUGAGACUGAAUAGCUAGGGUGCGGAAGAGGGAAGCGGAAUUUCCGGUGUAGCGGUGAAAUGCGUAGAUAUCGGAAGGAACAUCAGUGGCGAAAGCGACUUCCUGGACCAAUACUGACGCUCAUGUGCGAAAGCGUGGGGAGCAAACAGG